UUGGACCUCAUAUCAGGCAAGAUUACCCGCUGAACUUACA
rnacentral:rRNA from 1 species